UACGUAGGGUGCAAGCGUUUGUCCGGAAUUAUUGGGCGUAAAGAGCUCGUAGGCGGUUUGUCGCGUCUGCUGUGAAAACCCGAGGCUCAACCUCGGGCCUGCAGUGGGUACGGGGCAGACUAGAGUGCGGUAGGGGAGAUUGGAAUUCCUGGUGUAGCGGUGGAAUGCGCAGAUAUCAGGAGGAACACCAAUGGCGAAGGCAGAUCUCUGGGCCGUAACUGACGCUGAGGAGCGAAAGCAUGGGGAGCGAACAGG
rnacentral:rRNA from 1 species